ensembl:lincRNA
AUGAAAUUAGUGAUGCCUCUUCCAUCACUGUUCAUAGUGACCUCAUCUCUCUGGUGUUGGGAUUCUAGAUCUUUGAGGUCACGCAUGUUCUAUAGUGCCAUGUGUGUAUGGUCCUAUGCUGAGUGGUGUGGAGAUAAAACCUGUGGCCACCCAGCCAGGCAGUGUGUCUGUGUAUUCGGGGUAAAACCUGUGGCCACCCAGCCAGGCAGUGUGUCUGUGUAUUCGGGGGCAAGUCACAGAACCUGCCUCAGCCUUGGUGUCCUCAGCUCUAGAACGGAAGUCAUAACACCUACCACAGUGCUUGGUCUGACAUCUACAUCAGAGUGCCUGUCAUUGUGCCUGGCCAGAAGUCAUGUGCAGAAGUACUGGUUUCUGUUAACAUGUACAGACUCUUGAGCUGGGUAGGGGUAAUGGGGAGAGGGGGAAGAAGUGGUGUGUCAGAUCUGACCCUGGGGCUAUAGUUUGCUGAACUCAAAUCUAGCAAAAUUAACUUGCCUUAAAUAUUUAAACAAAACAAAACACAUCUCUUGGACACUAAUUUGCCCUUAGUGCAGAGAAUACCCUGCAUUUUACCUUCCUGACCCAGAACCAGGUCGUAUUUCCCAGCUUCUCUUGCCGCUGGUGGGUCAUGAGGCAGAGUCCUGGUCAGUGAAGUUGGGAGAAGUAAUAUGGGGCACUGUCAGGCCUGCAGCCAGACAGCCUUCCUUCUGAUAAUCCCACUCUCUCCCUUGCUUCCUUCACCUGCCAGCAGAAAGUGCUGAAGCGCUCAGAUGUGGUGGAGUCCUUAGACAGAAGGAGAUCCAUUCCUGAAAGCCUGUGGGGAGGGGAGUCCCGGUCCUCCUCCCUCCAGCUCCCCUGCAUGGGAACGGGAAAUUAAUGAGAAGUAAACUUUCUUGUAUUAAACCACUGAGAUUUGGGGUUGUUUGCUGCAACUCUUAGAGUGAGCCUACUCUGACUAAUACAACAUUUGGGUAUAUUUCCUGUAGGCUGCAUGCACCUGAUUAAAUGGUAUGGAAGCUUGUUCCUUCAAGACAAUGCUCCCCUUGGUCUGGUCACGGGGCCACCUUGUCCUGGUCCAUGGGCGUCUAUGGCCCGACAGGCCCCUGGCCUCUUCAAUGCCCAGUGCUCCAGCCCCUCUGGGACAUGUCCAGCUGCUCUCCCCAGGCUUUGGAACAUGCUGUUUCUUUUUCUCAAAAUACCUUGUUUCUUUCUCCAUAUGACCAUUCCAUUUUUUUUUAAGCUUCUUAAAAAUAUAUUUUUAGAGAGAGAGAGCAAGCAGGGGGAGGAGAAGAGUGCAGAGCCUGAUGCAGGACUCGAUCUCACAGCCCUGAGAUCAUGACCUGAGUCAAAACCAAGAGUCAGACACGUAACUGACUGAGCUGCCCAGGCGCCCCAUGACCAUUCCAUUAUGCAGCUAGGAGUUACCUGUUCUAGAAGUACCUUCAUAAUUUCCACCCGCCCCCUGCAACCCUCCCCAGACACCUGCUGAUUGUGUUCAUCAUGACCUCCCUUGUCAGACUGCAGGUUUCUUGAGGGUGGAGACCAUGUUCAGUAAGUAUUUGUGAUGAAAUUACAUGGUGUGUAACAAUUUUUUGUGGGUCAGUUAGUGAGUCAGUGUGAAAAGGGUUAGGUGACAAAUUUGACCCCUUUUAUAACGUUGGUUAAGCCAACCCUGAAAUUGUUUAAUCUUCAUAGAUUAAAAUAAGCUCUUCUCCCCAACAGGGCUGCUCCUUGUUCUUUCUCUUUCACAGUACUUCUAUGUUUUGAUUUAGAGAAAAUGGACAUUUUAACAACUUUGAUAUAUUGAAUGUGAUAUAUUUGAUAUCAUUUGAAUUGAAAUAUUGCUGCAUUUUCUUAGGCAUAAUUCAGUUUCUCUCAGCAGUGUUUUGUUUUUUCAGUGAGGAUCUUACACAAAUUUCACUACUUUUAUUCCCAAGUGUUUGCUGUUUCAUGAAUAGCAUUGUACAUACGGGCUUCCCCUCACACCCGUGAUUUCUGGCAAAUCCUCAGAGGCUACGGCCCUGUAGAAACUGCCUCUUCCCCCCAACCCCCACCCAGAGCGGAGGGGCAGCAGACCAUACCCCUGCCCCUGUCUCUUGUCCCCAGAAUCCUAGUUUGGGGGAUGUGACCUGGAACACAGAGGGAACCAGGGACUAGAACUGCUGGCUCUUUGGGGCCCUAAUUGUUAUGUGCUGACGUUCACUGUGCAGAAAAGGCUAUGUGUUCAGCUGUCCCGGCACUUUUUGGCACAUCUGUGUCUUCAACCUAGCCACACUCCAGAAGCCUCUGGGCACAGGCACAGGGCCCGGGUCAGCAAGGGGCAUACGGGGGCCUGGCUCUCAACAGUUCAGAGACCAGGUGCUAAGCCCUCCAAAGCUGGCGGGGGGGGGGGCGGGCAGACACUGCUUACCUCUCAGAACAAAGUAAAACCUUUCUAACACUCUUCCUCCUUUUUUCCUUUGUUGACUUGUAGCCAAGGAAGGACGUUUAUUUCUCCUCUAGGAGGAAAAGGCAGAGUUCCUUAAGGUUCCUGAUGGAGCUUUCUGAAACGACAGAUGUGGUCCGUGCCAUGGUGUCUGGCCGAGGAAUCCGUAACAUGGGUUUUUCAGGGACUGGUCUGUGUUUGGAAUAAAACAAAGCAAUUUGGGGCCUGGCACUUGUGUGGUAUCAAGAGGAGCAUUGUGGGAUGCAGUUUAAGGGCCAGUAAGGCGAAUGAGAGACAUGAUUUUCACAAAUUCUUGCAUGAAAUUCUGCAGGUAGUGGGGGUCCUGUGAAGCACAUGAUUCGAAGUGUAAGAUUGAUUCAGUAAUAUAACUUCAAAAACUGUGUUUAGGGGAAAUUAAAAAUGAAUGUCAGGGAAUAAGCAUAAUGAUUAUUGUUGGAUAUUUUUAAAAGCUUGGACCGAGGCCUCUGAUUACUCAUUGAAGCUGAUCCAAGACUCAGAGCCCCAUCUCGGUUUACUGCGGGCUACUAGGGACAGUGGGCAACAUCAGCAGGACCUCUGCUUCCUCUUCAGAGGAAAGCAGUCAACUGCCAACAGAUUUCCAAGGUUCCUCUGUCCUGGUUACUCUAAAACCAAAUUCACUUUUGGGUUCCUGAUGUAUUUAAUUCCUGAGCUCACAGUUGUCACAUUCACACAAGAGUGGGAAUAUGUCUUAGAAUGAAGCUCACUUAAAGCCUAGAGGUGUUAGUUUCUGGAAAUCAGGAUGGAUCCCCCCCCCCCAGGGCACCUUUCUUCCUGGUGGGCACGGUGUGGUGUGAGUGAUGUCUGCAAGGAGCAGAGGGGCUGCGGGGGAUGUGUGUCCCUUCCCUCUGAACCAGGUGCCCAUCCUGCCUUCUUUCGCUUUGACUUUAGUCCCUGGGGCCUCGGGGGGAAUCUGAAGGGGGUAUACCAUGGGCCACCCACACACUGAAAAUGCCCACGGGAGGUAGGUUGGACUUCAGAAACGUAGGUGAUUAGGAUGCUGUCAGAUCCUGUCUCAGGAGGCAAGUGACUCCUUGUAGGAUUGCUGUAAGGCAGGAGCAGGGGAGAUAACCAAGUGACAGGUGCAUCUCUGGCUUUCCAUUUUAACAGCGAUCCCUGGGGUCAGAAGUGGGGACAGUAAUAUGGAAAAAUGAACCGGAGUUUCACCAGCCUGUCCAGACUCACAGCCUUUGGCCUCAAUUAUCUGAUCAUUAACACUCAGCCAUUAAAACUUAACACUGAAAGCUCAACAUGUUAAAACAUUUAAGUAUUUUAAAGAAAUUCUGCCAAGGUUUAGAGGGGAAUAUAACAUUUCUUUUCUGGGUUUUGUUUACUUAUGUUGUUCUUAUUUGUAAUAAAAGCUAAAAAUAAGAGUGGAAGUCUGUGUUUUCUAGAAAAUAGUUAUGAGACAAGCUUCGGAGGUUUCAGAGAACAUGAGUGUUUGAUGCACACGCCCUCCCGGGUACAGAACAUGAAUGUUUGAUGCACACGCCCUCCCGGGUACAGGUGACAGGAAACCAGCACUCUCUCUCUCCACCCAAAGGAUCGGGGAGUUUUCUCUUGUUGGGGUGCUGUCAGUCAUUUUCGCAGUUCUGUUUUGAGAUAGAAUUGUUAAUUUUUCUUGACUUCAUAAUGCAGAAAUAAGAGUUUCACCUCUAAGAUUUAAAUGAGCAUCUCAUCGUAUGGGAUACCGUGUUAUUUUCUAUGGAAUCAAAGUGUAUUUUAUGGCUGCUUGCAUAACACAGAGGCAGGUUUUUGAAAAACGGUGGUUUUCUAUGAAAUGCCAUCAAUCCAGUUAUACCCGGCUUGAGAGGCCCAAGUAAGGUCUCUCUAGAAGUUAGAGGAAGCUAAGGCCUUGGCAGGUGAGGAUGGGAAAGAGAUUACUAGCCCUGAUUCUUAGGCAGUAGGGCCCACGAGGCUGUUGGGUAUUAACAAAAUCUGAAGCCUCUGAAAGUUUUUGCUGGGGGUGUUGUUGCGAUUCUGGAAUCACAGGCCACCUCCUCUUGAGCUAAAGAGGCCGAGGGUAGUGCAACCCUCCCGAGAGAAGACAGGAUAUCCAUGAUGUGCUUGGGUACCUGGACAGUG